rnacentral:misc_RNA from 1 species
UGUGGAGCGGUGUACCCCAAGAUGUAAGUCUAAUACAUCUUGGGUGUACCCAAUAUAACCAGUCGCCUUCAGCUGCCGAGUGUGGCGCCAAGCUCAAGAUGUCAACACAUCACCCACAGGAUACUGAACAGUGAAGAUUGAAGAGGUGGAGUGGCGUUGUGUGUCGUGCGGCGGUGUGUUGCAGGUGUGGACUGAGAGCGUCACAACAGCAUGAAGUCACCAUUGCUACUAUUACUACCACUACUACCACUGCUAGUGUCACCUGUGGAAGCUGCCGACCUCUCCCAGCACCACUACGACCUGGGGGACUGGACGGCUAUAGUGGUGUUGACGGGUUUGGCAGUCGUAGGGUUCUUGGCUUGUGUGGGUGCAUGUGUCAGGCGGCGGAGACGGGAGAUCCUGCAGUAUUGAGAAUGUUAGGCAGCCGUUACACAGUGGUGGAUGGUGGGCUGGCUUCCACACUGCAGGCUGGUGGAUAUGAGGUGGAUGGGGACCCGUUGUGGAGUGCACGGCUGCUGGCAACACACCCACAUGCCAUUAAGAAGGUGCACACAGCAUUCCUGGAGGCAGGGGCAGAGGUGCUGGUGUGUGGCAGUUACCAGGCUAGUGUGUCAGGCUUCCAGCAGCACCUCAGUACCACGCGGGAGGAAGCCUUGGCACUCAUUGGGCGCUCCGCCACGCUGGCGCUUGACGCUGUGCAGGAGUUUGAGAAGGGAGAGAGGGGAGAUCACCCCAAGGUCGUGGCAGGGUCAGUGGGGCCCUAUGGAGCAUGCCAGGCUGAUGGGUCAGAGUACACAGGGUCAUACAUCCCCUCUAUGACCCAAAGUGACCUCAUGACCUGGCACCGGCCUCGCUUGGAGGCACUGGCAGGGGCGGGGCUGCGGGUUGUGGCACUGGAGACCUUGCCGGCACUGUCUGAGGCCCUGGCACUUCUGGGGCUUUUGCGAGAGUUUCCAGACCUGAAGGCUUGGGUCACCUUCUCGUGUAAGGAUGCAAAACACACAAGUUAUGGAGACCAUUUUGGUGAGGCAGUGAAGGCGUGUUAUGAGCAAGGCAGAGACCAGUUGAUAGCUGUAGGUGUCAACUGCUCUCCCCCCCAUCUUAUCACCCCACUGCUCCAGGAGGCUAGCCAGCUCCUCCCCUCCCCCAAGAUUCUCCCCAGGGUUGUGUAUCCAAACUCAGGGGAGGAAUGGGUGGCUGGGAAAGGGUGGAAGGCAAGAGGAGAUGAGAUCUCAUGGCCCUUCCUGGAUGAGGUGGGGGUGUGGGCAGAGAUGGGGGCACAGCUGGUGGGAGGCUGCUGUCGGCUGGGACCUGUUGACAUAGCUAACAUUGCUGGUGUGUUGAGGAGCCUACCUGAUCCAUAAGGCAGCUCACUAUAUGACACCUGUAUUGUAAUGCACUUGAACUCUUUACUUAUUGAGAGAGAGAGAGAGAGAGUUGGGAAGAGAAGGGAGUCUUAAUUCUGCAUAGAACUGUGUGGGUGUAGAGAGACAGGAUAUAUGCGGAACAAGUGGAUUUUAAAUUGUUUUCCUGGUGUUAAGAGAAAUAAAGGACAGAAAAAGGAAA